GACGAACGCUGGCGGCGUGCUUAACACAUGCAAGUCGAACGGUGAAGCGCCUUCCUUUUUGGUGGGUGUGGAUGAGUGGCGAACGGGUGAGUAACACGUGAGUAACCUGCCCCCUUCUUCUGGAUAACCGCAUGAAAGUGUGGCUAAUACGGGAUAUUCUGGGUCUGUCGCAUGAUGGGUCUGGGAAAGAUAUUGUUUCGGUGGGGGAUGGGCUCGCGGCCUAUCAGCUUGUUGGUGGGGUGAUGGCCUACCAAGGCGGUGACGGGUAGCCGGCCUGAGAGGGUGGACGGUCACACUGGGACUGAGACACGGCCCAGACUCCUACGGGAGGCAGCAGUGGGGAAUAUUGCACAAUGGGCGCAAGCCUGAUGCAGCGACGCCGCGUGAGGGAUGGAGGCCUUCGGAUUGUGAACCUCUUUCGCCAGUGAAGCAGGCCUGCCUCGUUUGUGGGUGGGUUGACGGUAGCUGGAUAAGAAGCGCCGGCUAACUACGUG
rnacentral:rRNA from 1 species